rnacentral:rRNA from 1 species
CAGCCGCCGCGGGAACACGUAGGUGGCAAGCGUUGUCCGGAAUUAUUGGGCGUAAAGCGCGCGCAGGCGGAUCAGUCAGUCUGUCUUAAAAGUUCGGGGCUUAACCCCGUGAUGGGAUGGAAACUGCUGAUCUAGAGUAUCGGAGAGGAAAGUGGAAUUCCUAGUGUAGCGGUGAAAUGCGUAGAUAUUAGGAAGAACACCAGUGGCGAAGGCGACUUUCUGGACGAAAACUGACGCUGAGGCACGAAAGCCAGGGGAGCGAACGGGAUUAGAUACCCCUGUAGUCCCUGUCUCUUAUACA